UACGUAGGGUGCGAGCGUUGUCCGGAAUUAUUGGGCGUAAAGAGCUUGUAGGCGGUCUGUCGCGUCUGCUGUGAAAAUCCGGGGCUCAACCCCGGACUUGCAGUGGGUACGGGCAGACUGGAGUGUGGUAGGGGAGACUGGAAUUCCUGGUGUAGCGGUGAAAUGCGCAGAUAUCAGGAGGAACACCGAUGGCGAAGGCAGGUCUCUGGGCCACUACUGACGCUGAGAAGCGAAAGCAUGGGGAGCGAACAGG
rnacentral:rRNA from 1 species